UUUUCCACAUUUCUUUCCAGAGAGAAUAGAAAUACCAGUUGACCAGGAGCCAGAGAUUCCCUUCUCAUUUGAACCAGAAAAUUCCAUCUUGCCGCUUCCCGUUGUUGUGCUCCUUGGUGGUCUAGGAGGGUUUCUGCUCAUUUCCAACUUGUUUUUGCUUGGCUGCCUCAUUUCCAGAAAGAGAGCUCAGGCUCCCAAAGGAGAUGGGAUUGAAGGACCAACCAGGGGGAAAGUGAGAUUCGGGAACAGCUACACAGUGAGCAAAUGGCUGAAGGUUGGUGGGCAACCAGCACAGCUGCAGGGGUACAGUUCAGAGGACAGUUCUACUAAGACAUCAGCCACUGUCUCUACAGCCACCACAGAUACUAGUGUUACAGGUCCCAACAUCCCUUGGAUGAGCUCUCAAGAGCAUCAUGGAUAUGAGGAAGUAGGAAGUCCUAGGAGAUUGGAGGACAUGGGACCCCUGUUUGAUGAAUGGAACCCUGACGAUGAACCAUGGAUCAAUGAAUAUGCAGUGAGUACCUUGAGAAGAAGGGGAAUUCUGAAAUAGUCCUGUUGUAUGGUACUCU
rnacentral:lncRNA from 1 species